rnacentral:rRNA from 1 species
GACAGAGGGGGCAAGCGUUGCUCGGAAUCACUGGGCGUAAAGGGCGCGUAGGCGGGAUGGCAAGUCGGUCGUGAAAUCCCUGGGCUCAACUCAGGGGGGUCGGCCGAUACUGCCAUUCUUGAGGGAUGCAGAGGAGACUGGAAUUCCCGGUGUAGCGGUGAAAUGUGUAGAGAUCGGGAGGAACACCGGUGGCGAAGGCGGGUCUCUGGGCAUUCCCUGACGCUGAGGCGCGAAAGCGUGGGGAGCGAACAGG